rnacentral:rRNA from 1 species
GAUGAACGCUGGCGGCGUGCCUAAUACAUGCAAGUCGAGCGAACAGACGAGGAGCUUGCUCCUCUGACGUUAGCGGCGGACGGGUGAGUAACACGUGGAUAACCUACCUAUAAGACUGGGAUAACUUCGGGAAACCGGAGCUAAUACCGGAUAAUAUAUUGAACCGCAUGGUUCAAUAGUGAAAGACGGUUUUGCUGUCACUUAUAGAUGGAUCCGCGCCGCAUUAGCUAGUUGUUAAGGUAACGGCUUACCAAGGCAACGAUGCGUAGCCGACCUGAGAGGGUGAUCGGCCACAUUGGAACUGAGACACGGUCCAGACUCCUACGGGAGGCAGCAGUAGGGAAUCUUCCGCAAUGGGCGAAAGCCUGACGGAGCAACGCCGCGUGAGUGAUGAAGGUCUUCGGAUCGUAAAACUCUGUUAUUAGGGAAGAACAAAUGUGUAAGUAACUAUGCACGUCUUGACGGUACCUAAUCAGAAAGCCACGGCUAACUACGUG